rnacentral:rRNA from 1 species
UUAAAGAGUUCUAUAACUCCCAAACCCAUGUGAACAUACCUAACGUUGCCUCGGCAGGUCGCACCUACCUUGUAGCACCCUACCCUGUAGGGCCUACCCGGGAGGUGCGGGUAAGCCUGCCGGCGGCCCACCAAACUCUGUUUGAUAUUGAAUUCUGAACCUAUAACUAAAUAAGUUAAAACUUUCAACAACGGAUCUCUUGGUUCUGGCAUCGAUGAAGAACGCAGCGAAAUGCGAUAAGUAAUGUGAAUUGCAGAAUUCAGUGAAUCAUCGAAUCUUUGAACGCAUAUUGCGCCCAUUAGUAUUCUAGUGGGCAGGACCGUUCGAGCGUCAUUUCAACCCUUAAGCCUUCGUUGCUUAGUGUUGGGAGCCUACGGCAACGUAGCUCCUCAAAGUUAGUGGCGGAGUUGGUUCACACUCUAGACGUAGUAAUUUUUUAUCUCGCCUAUUAGUUGGACUAAUCCCCUGCCGUAAAACCCCCAAUUUAUCAAGGUUGACCUCGAAUCGGUUCAGACAAACUCGCUAAAUUGAAGCAUCUUAGUCAGCGAAGGAAAAGAAACCAACAGGGAUUGCCCUAGUAACGGCGAGUGAAGCGGCAACAGCUCAAAUUUGAAAUCUGGCCCUCGGGUCCGAGUUGUAAUUUG